rfam:Mus musculus chromosome 12, GRC primary reference assembly.
GCCGGGCGUGGUGGUGGUGCACGCCUUUAAUCCCAGCACUCGGGAGGCAGAGGCAGGCGGAUUUCUGAGUUUGAGGCCAGCCUGGUCUACAGAGUGAGUUCCAGGACAGCCAGGGCUACACAGAGAAACCCUGUCUCAAAGAAAAAAGAAGAAGGAGGAGGAGGAGGAGGAGAAGGAGGUUUUGUUUUGUUUUUUCUAGACAGGUUUUCUUUGUGGAGCUCUGGCUGUCCUGGAACUCACUUUGUAGACCAGGCUGGCCUUGAACUCAGAAAUCCACCUGCCUCUG